rnacentral:rRNA from 1 species
GAUGAACGCUGGCGGCGUGCCUAAUACAUGCAAGUCGAGCGAACGGACGAGAAGCUUGCUUCUCUGAUGUUAGCGGCGGACGGGUGAGUAACACGUGGAUAACCUACCUAUAAGACUGGGAUAACUUCGGGAAACCGGAGCUAAUACCGGAUGAUAUUUUGAACCGCAUGGUUCAAAAGUGAAAGACGGUCUUGCUGUCACUUAUAGAUGGAUCCGCGCUGCAUUAGCUAGUUGGUAAGGUAACGGCUUACCAAGGCAACGAUGCAUAACCGACCUGAGAGGGUGAUCGGCCACACUGGAACUGAGACACGGUCCAGACUCCUGCGGGAGGCAGCAGUAGGGAAUCUUCCGCAAUGGGCGAAAGCCUGACGGAGCAACGCCGCGUGAGUGAUGAAGGUCUUCGGAUCGUAAAACUCUGUUAUUAGGGAAGAACAUAUGUGUAAGUAACUGUGCACAUCUUGACGGUACCUAAUCAGAAAGCCACGGCUAACUACGUG